CUUCAAGGCAGCUCACCUCACUAGUCAUGGCAUCAAUUCGGAAGGACACCUCAAAGCUUCACAAAAGCCAGAUGGCAGCAAGCAGUAGGCACAACACCUCAGUAUCUCACGGCAUCAGAUUUUGAAGCAUGAUUGGCCAGCAAGAUGGCAAAGCUUUAUUCCUGAUCUUGUUUCAGCUGCUAAAACUAGUGAAACAAUUUGUGAGAAUUGCAUGGCUAUAUUGAAGCUUCUAAGUGAAGGGGUGUUUGAUUUCUCAAGAGGAGAGAUGACUCAAAGUAAGAUAAAGGAGCUUAAACAAUCAUUGAACAGUGAAUUUCAACUCAUUCAUGAGCUAUGCUUAUAUGUACUAUCAGCCUCUCAAAGAA